AUCUUACGGGGGGCAGCAGUGGGGGAUAUUGCACAAUGGGGGGAACCCUGAUGCAGCGACGCCGCGUGGGUGAAGAAGGUCUUCGGAUCGUAAAACCCUGUUGUUAGAGAAGAAAGUGCGUGAGAGUAACUGUUCACGUUUCGACGGUAUCUAACCAGAAAGCCACGGCUAACUACGUGCCAGCAGCCGCGGUAAUACGUAUGGUGCAAGCGUUAUCCGGAUUUACUGGGUGUAAAGGGAGCGUAGGCGGCGCGUUAAGUCUGAUGUGAAAACCCGAGGCUCAACCACGGGAGUGCAUUGGAAAC
rnacentral:rRNA from 1 species